AUGUCGAAGGCGCCGCGCGGCCCCAGGAAGGCGGUGAGGAGAGGCCCGUGGUCGAGGGAGGAGGACGCUAAGCUGACGGACCACAUCGCCAAGCAUGGCCUCGGCCGCUGGAGUGAUAUCCCCAGGCUAGCAGGCAUUGAGAGGGGCGGAAAGAGCUGCAGGCUGAGGUGGUUAAACUACCUCCGGCCGGACCUCAAGCGGGCCGCGCUCUCGCAGGAAGAGGAGGAUCUCAUCAUCCAGCUCCACUCCAUCAUAGGCAACAGCUGGACUCUGAUCGCGGCGUGCUUGCCGGGGCGGACGGACAACGGGGUCAAGAACUUCUGGAACGCCUCCAUCAAGCACAAGCUCCGCCGGCGUGGCAUCGACCCGGACACCCACGAGCCGAUGGUCGACGAGGGCACGAGGAACGGCGACGCCCAGCACAUCCUGCCAUCCCACCUUGCGGCAGGUAGCAACACGUGCAGCCAUGGAGCCCUUCCGCUGCCGGACUCCAUCACUAGCUACGUGGACACGGACCCGCUAGAGCUCCAGCACGGCGUUGUACUUGUACAGCCGGUGGUGUCGAGCUCCAGCAAGGUGGGCUCUGACCCGUCCAGCACCGGCUCCGACACCGGCGAGCAGUGCCCCAACGGCGCAGACAGGGCAGCCAGUUGUUCGAUCUGA
rnacentral:rRNA from 1 species